CUUAUUUUAACUUUUUUGGUAUAACUUAAGUUGCUACUGCAGUUACAAGAGGUCAGUUUAUAAGAAGAGAUCUAAAAUGUUAGAAUUCACUAGAAUUCUACACAUCUUGUUUCUUUCCCACCCUGCUCUUGCACUAAAUCUCAAUUUUUAUUGUGAUCCCUCUGUAUGAUAGCACUUUUGAAGAUUUAGUCGGUAGUACACAAUAUGAUGGAAAGGAAGUAUAGCAAACAAUUGUUGGAUGUUAAUAGUUGGGGACUCUUAAGAUCCUUAUUAGUUAUCUUACCUGCAGUGAGAUCCACUCUGAAGCAGAAAUGCCCUUGUGAGCAAUUAAACCAGAGUCUGAAAGGCAUUUUCUUUCUUCCUUUUAGUAGUUUGAUACUGAAACUUCCAAACUCCCUUAGUUUUAGAAAUCUGGUUUUCAAACUAAAUGCAUCAGUGGCACCUUACUACUUAUUUGUCCUUGUUUUAGUUUAAUUUCUCAGCCUCAGAGUGAUGCCAAGAACUUUCAGCUUUUGUUUAUUAAGCUAAGCAAGCUUACAUUGAAGUCUCUUAUAGGUUCUUCAUUCCUGCUGGCUCUUCUCUUCACCUUUUAUAGGUUGAAUGGAAUAACAGGUUUACUACCACAUGAACAAAUGGAAAUACUGCUUUCCAGGCAUUAAAGUUAAUAAACACUGGUAAAGGAGCAGAGCUGCUUUCUGGCACAAGGCAAUGAAAUUUAUUGGAGCAAGGAAAGCUUUGUUUACAGAAAGUUUCUAGCUCUGCCACAGUCUUACCUUGAGCUUUGAAACAGACUGUUACUUCACCAUUGAAUUCUUAAAGGAGGUCUUUAAUCCAGAGACAACUUUUCAAGGAUACCAGAUGCAAACCAAAUCUGUUUAGAGGAUUUAUCUCGUCUUUCUGUUGCCUUCUGCUACUUGUCAGAUGUGUAUGUUUAAAUAAGGGAUUGUUCUGACAUAACCCAUUGAAUUGGCCUGCUUGAUGCUGUGAAAUUGUAGUUCUGUAGUCAUGGUUGUGUCCUCUAUCUCAGGAAAAGUAGAAGUUGGGUCAGCUAACUUGUCCCCUGUGGGAUUUCCACUAGAAUAUAUGAAGGAUGUUCUUUUUUUGUUUGUUUUGUUUAACUCUGCAAAUAUAGUAGACCACAAGAAUCCAUGGAAAUCAGUGGUCCUUCAGAGAGAAAUCAGAGCAAAACUAUUAUACAUGUGUGUAUAUAUGUUUGCUGGAAAGUUGCACUAAAAUCACUUGUAAUCCACCCCAUUUUGCUGCUUUUUCCAACAACUGAAGACAUUAUUUAACAGCCUGAUGAUCUGUAAGUAAGCCCAUUUUUCUUUGAAGUGUCAUUUUGUGAUUAUUCUGUUAAAUUCAAAUGGCAAACUGAGUAAAAAUGUAGUUCAGAA
ensembl:lncRNA